rnacentral:rRNA from 1 species
UACGAAGGGGGCUAGCGUUGCUCGGAAUUACUGGGCGUAAAGCGCACGUAGGCGGUCUUUUAAGUCGGGGGUGAAAUCCUGGAGCUCAACUCCAGAACUGCCUUCGAUACUGGAAGACUUGAGUCCGGGAGAGGUGAGUGGAACUGCGAGUGUAGAGGUGAAAUUCGUAGAUAUUCGCAAGAACACCAGUGGCGAAGGCGGCUCACUGGCCCGGUACUGACGCUGAGGCACGAAAGCGUGGGGAGCGAACAGG